rnacentral:tRNA from 1 species
UCCUCAGUAGCUCAGUGGUAGAGCAUUCGGCUGUUAACCGACAGGUCGUAGGUUCAAAUCCUACCUGGGGAG